UUUGAACGAUAGUUGUCGGAGAUCCUCGUCGGUGAAAUAGGUGCCUGUCCAAGAAAACAAAACAAAAUACACCCACAAAAGCAGAGGAGAGAAUAAAAAGGGACAGUGCAAGACCGCUGAAGAGAAAUUAAGUAUUUAAAAAGAAUUUUUGGAAAAGGACAAACUCUUAAACCCUAAUAAAACAGAAGCUACAACGCGAAUCGAUAUGCUCCAGAUUUUUUAUCAGUAUAAAGACGGAAAAUUUACAGAUGGGUUUGGAUACGAAAGCAAGAUUUCAUCAAAGAGUAACAAAUUGCACAAACAACAACAAUAACAAGAAAGAGGACAGAAAAAGAAGAACUUAAAGAGUGUAAUUUACUUAAACAAUAGCAACUGAGUGCUGCAGGUGAAAUGAAGUUGACGUCCAAAGCUGCAGUUAAGCUAACAAAGAGAAGCGACCAUAUGUCUCCUCGGGGGCGCAAUUGAAGUGAUGAGAGGCAAGGGUGUAAAAUGAAAGUGAGCAGGGAAAUAUUCCGAAAGUACCAAGUUGGUCGGAAUUAUAAGGGGAAAAAACUGUCCAAAAGAAGCCGGUUGAAAAAGUGGCCGGAACACUAUUCACGCGCGUGGCACGUGGGUUCACUGGCGGCACGUCGGCAGCGCGUCGGCGGCGCGUGGGGCAGCUUCCGGCGACGAAAUUCGCAGGCAGGGUGCGCCUGACGUUGAGUGUCUCGAUGGUGUCGGAGGUGUCGAAGAGAGACCACCGGAAGAGACAGAAACUCGUCGGAAC
rnacentral:lncRNA from 1 species